rnacentral:rRNA from 1 species
GACGAACGCUGGCGGAGUGCCUAAUACAUGCAAGUCGACCUUAGUGGCGAACGGGUGAGUAACACGUGGGUAACCUGCCCAUCAGAAGGGUAUAACACAUGGAAACAGGUGCUAAUACCGUAUACUGAUGGAUGGACCAGCGGUGCAUUAGCUCGUUGGUGAGGUAACGGCUCACCAAGGCCACGAUGCAUAGCCGACCUGAUAGGGUGAGCGGCCACAGUGGGAAUGAGACACGGCCCAAACUCCUACGUGAGGCAGCAGUAGGGAAGAUUCGGCAAUGGACGAAAGUCGGACCGAGCAACGCCGCGUGAGUGAAGAAGGUUUUCGGAUCGUAAAACUCUGUUGUUAGAGAAGCGGUAUCUAACCAGAAAGCCACGGCUAACUACGUGCCAGCAGCCGCGGUAAUAC